rnacentral:rRNA from 1 species
CUACGGGACGCAGCAGCUGAGGAUUUUUUACAAUGCACGAAAGUGUGAUAAAGCGAGCCAGAGUGUUGUUCUUAGAACAACUUUUAUUUGCUGUAAAAAGGCAGAUGAAUAAGGACUGGGUAAGACCGGUGCCAGCCGCCGCGGUAAUACCGGCGGUCCAAGUUGCAUCCAUUUUUAUUGGGUCUAAAACAUCCGUAGCUUGCUCUGUAAGUUUCUUGUGAAAUCUCAUGUCUCAAGCAUGAGGCUUGCAAGAAAUACUGCAUAGCUAGAGACCGGAAGACGUAAGGAGUAUGAUUGAGGUAGCGGUAAAAUGUGUUAAUCUUAAUCAGACUAACAACGGCGAAGGCACCUUACGAGUACGGAUCUGACAGUGAGGGAUGAAGGCUAGGGGCGCAAAACGGAUUAGAUACCCGCGUAGUC